rnacentral:rRNA from 1 species
AGCGAACGCUGGCGGCAGGCCUAACACAUGCAAGUCGAACGAACCUUUCGGGGUUAGUGGCGGACGGGUGAGUAACACGUGGGAACGUGCCUUUAGGUUCGGAAUAACUCAGGGAAACUUGUGCUAAUACCGAAUGUGCCCUUCGGGGGAAAGAUUUAUCGCCUUUAGAGCGGCCCGCGUCUGAUUAGCUAGUUGGUUGAGGUAAUGGCUCACCAAGGCGACGAUCAGUAGCUGGUCGGAGAGGAGGAUCAGCCACAUUGGGACUGAGACACGGCCCAAACUCCUACGGGAGGCAGCAGUGGGGAAUCUUGCGCAAUGGGCGAAAGCCUGACGCAGCCAUGCCGCGUGAAUGAUGAAGGUCUUAGGAUUGUAAAAUUCUUUCACCGGGGACGAUAAUGACGGUACCCGGAGAAGAAGCCCCGGCUAACUUCGUG